rnacentral:tRNA from 1 species
GAGCGAAUAGUUCAACGGAAGAACACCUUAUUUUCCCUUAUUCACUAACUUACUCUCACGGGUCGCCGAAAUUUAGGGUUAUCGCAUACCACGCGGGAGAUGGGGGUUCGAAUCCCCCUUCGUUCA